rnacentral:tRNA from 1 species
GGUGGUGUAGCCAAGCGGUUAGGCAGAGGACUGCAAAUCCUUGAACGCUGGUUCGAAUCCAGUCACCACCUCCA